AUGCCCCUCACUAGCAGCAGUUUAUCUCACAUAUCCCUACCCGAACCUGGCAUCAGGAGCCAAGCCGUAUCAACAAUCAACAGCAGACCUUAGAUCUCAGAGAAGAGGAUCCCCGGCAAUAACUCUCCUUUGACACAUAGGCGCUAUCAGCCCUUCUCUUAUGCCGGGUCUGGGGGAGGAGUAAUUGUUUCUGCCUGGAGCGAGCCAGGUCUGGGAUCUUUCCCAUAG